CAAAUCACGUUGAAACAUCGGUUCCCAUACGAUCAUCGAAGUUAAGCAACAUCGAGUUUGGUCAGUACCUAGAUGGGUGACCGCUUGGGUAUACCACGCGAUGUAA